rnacentral:rRNA from 1 species
ACCUAAACAAAACCAAAAAACCUAACACAUGCAAGUCGAACGGUAACAGGGAAGGCAGCUUGCUGCUUCGCUGACGAGUGGCGGACGGGUGAGUAAUGUCUGGGAAACUGCCUGAUGGAGGGGGAUAACUACUGGAAACGGUAGCUAAUACCGCAUAACGUCGCAAGACCAAAGAGGGGGACCUUCGGGCCUCUUGCCAUCGGAUGUGCCCAGAUGGGAUUAGCUUGUUGGUGGGGUAACGGCUCACCUAGGCGACGAUCCCUAGCUGGUCUGAGAGGAUGACCAGCCACACUGGAACUGAGACACGGUCCAGACUCCUACGGGAGGCAGCAGUGGGGAAUAUUGCACAAUGGGCGCAAGCCUGAUGCAGCCAUGCCGCGUGUAUGAAGAAGGCCUUCGGGUUGUAAAGUACUUUCAGCGGGGAGGAAGGGAGUAAAGUUAAUACCUUUGCUCAUUGACGUUACCCGCAGAAGAAGCACCGGCUAACUCCGUGCCAGCAGCCGCGGUAAUACGGAGGGUGCAAGCGUUAAUCGGAAUUACUGGGCGUAAAGCGCACGCAGGCGGUUUGUUAAGUCAGAUGUGAAAUCCCCGGGCUCAACCUGGGAACUGCAUCUGAUACUGGCAAGCUUGAGUCUCGUAGAGGGGGGUAGAACUCCAUGUGUAGCGGUG